UACGAAGGGGGCUAGCGUUGUUCGGAAUCACUGGGCGUAAAGGGCGCGUAGGCGGCUUUGUAAGUCGGGGGUGAAAGCCUGUGGUUCAACCACAGAAUUGCCUUCGAUACUGCAUGGCUUGAGACCGGAAGAGGUAAGUGGAACUGCGAGUGUAGAGGUGAAAUUCGUAGAUAUUCGCAAGAACACCAGUGGCGAAGGCGGCUUACUGGUCCGGUUCUGACGCUGAAGCACGAAAGCGUGGGGAGCAAACAGG
rnacentral:rRNA from 1 species